rnacentral:rRNA from 1 species
GACGAACUCUGGCGGCGUGCUUAACACAUGCAAGUCGAACGGAAAGGCCCUGCUUUUGUGGGGUGCUCGAGUGGCGAACGGGUGAGUAACACGUGAGUAACCUGCCCUUGACUUUGGGAUAACUUCAGGAAACUGGGGCUAAUACCGGAUAGGAGCUCCUGCUGCAUGGUGGGGGUUGGAAAGUUUCGGCGGUUGGGGAUGGACUCGCGGCUUAUCAGCUUGUUGGUGGGGUAGUGGCUUACCAAGGCUUUGACGGGUAGCCGGCCUGAGAGGGUGACCGGCCUCAUUGGGACUGAGAUACGGCCCAGACUCCUACGGGAGGCAGCAGUGGGGAAUAUUGCACAAUGGGCGGAAGCCUGAUGCAGCAACGCCGCGUGCGGGAUGACGGCCUUCGGGUUGUAAACCGCUUUCGCCUGUGACGAAGCGUGAGUGACGGUAAUGGGUAAAGAAGCACCGGCUAACUACGUGCCAGCAGCCGCGGUGAUACGUAGGGUGCGAGCGUUGUCCGGAUUUAUUGGGCGUAAAGGGCUCGUAGGUGGUUGAUCGCGUCGGAAGUGUAAUCUUGGGGCUUAACCCUGAGCGUGCUUUCGAUACGGGUUGACUUGAGGAAGGUAGGGGAGAAUGGAAUUCCUGGUGGAGCGGUGGAAUGCGCAGAUAUCAGGAGGAACACCAGUGGCGAAGGCGGCUCUCUGGGCCUUUCCUGACGCUGAGGAGCGAAAGCGUGGGGAGCGAACAGGCUUAGAUACCCUGGUAGUCCACGCUGUAAACGGUGGGUACUAGGUGUGGGGUCCAUUCCACGGGUUCCGUGCCGUAGCUAACGCUUUAAGUACCCCGCCUGGGGAGUACGGCCGCAAGGCUAAAACCCAAAGGAAUUGACGGGGCCCCGCACAAGCGGCGGAGCAUGCGGAUUAAUUCGAUGCAACGCGUAGAACCUUACCUGGGUUUGACAUGGAUCGGGAGUGCUCAGAGAUGGGUGUGCCUCUUUUGGGGUCGGUUCACAGGUGGUGCAUGGCUGUCGUCAGCUCGUGUCGUGAGAUGUUGGGUUAAGUCCCGCAACGAGCGCAACCCUUGUUCACUGUUGCCAGCACGUUAUGGUGGGGACUCAGUGGAGACCGCCGGGGUCAACUCGGAGGAAGGUGGGGAUGACGUCAAGUCAUCAUGCCCCUUAUGUCCAGGGCUUCACGCAUGCUACAAUGGCUGGUACAGAGAGUGGCGAGCCUGUGAGGGUGAGCGAAUCUCGGAAAGCCGGUCUCAGUUCGGAUUGGGGUCUGCAACUCGACCUCAUGAAGUCGGAGUCGCUAGUAAUCGCAGAUCAGCAACGCUGCGGUGAAUACGUUCCCGGGGCU